CGGGGCGCAGCAGGCGCGAAAACUGCACAAUGCUGGAAACAGCGAUGCGGGAAUUCCAAGUGCCGGCACUAAGUGUCGGCUGUUCCAUUGUCUAAAAAGCAUAGGAAGUAAGGGCUGGGUAAGACGGGUGCCAGCCGCCGCGGUAAUACCUGCAGCCCGAGUGGUGGCCGUUAUUAUUGGGCCUAAAACGUCCGUAGCCUGUUUGGUAGAUGCCUGUGUAAAUCGAACGGCUUAACCGUUCGAACUGCGGGUAGACCGCCAGACUUGGGACCGGGAGAGUCACGAAGUACUCCGGGGGUAGAGGUGAAAUUCUGUAAUCCUCGGGGGACUACCGGUGGCGAAGGCGUCGUGAUAGAACGGCUCCGACGGUGAGGGACGAAGCCCUGGGGCGCAAACCGGAUUAGAUACCCGGGUAGUCCAGGGUGUAAACGCUGCGGUCUUGGUGUCGGCAGUCCUACGGGGGCAGCCGGUGCCGGAGAGAAGUUGUUAAGACCGCUGCCUGGGGAGUACGGCCGCAAGGUUGAAACUCAAAGGAAUUGACGGA
rnacentral:rRNA from 1 species